AGGAUUAACGCUGGCGGCGUGCCUAACACAUGCAAGUCGAACGAGGUAGCAAUACCUAGUGGCAGACGGGUGAGUAACGCGUGGUCAACCUACCGUUGAGUGGGGGAUAACUAGCCGAAAGGUUAGCUAAUACCGCAUACGAGUCUUGGGGGCAUCCCCGGGCCUUAAAGGGAGCAAUCCGCUCGAUGACGGGACCGCGUCCCAUUAGCUAGAUGGUGGGUAACGCCUACCAUGGCACCGAUGGGUAGCUGGUUUGAGAGAGCGACCAGCCACACUGGGACUGAGAAACGGCCCAGACUCCUACGGGAGGCAGCAGUGAGGAAUUUUCCGCAAUGGGCGAAAGCCUGACGGAGCGACGCCGCGUGUGGGAAGAAGGCCUUCGGGUCGUAAACCACUGUCGAAGGGGACGAUAAUGACGGUACCCUUGGAGGAAGCCCGGCUAACUACGUGCCAGCAGCCGC
rnacentral:rRNA from 1 species